CCUUCAUUGUUUCUAUGCUACCGAAUGCAUGUCUAGACAUCCUACCGAAUGUCAAUGCAAGCAUGGAUCUUCUGUGCACAGGUCUCAAGUGAUCAGGGCUUGUCUGCAAUGCCACUCUUAAACAGUCAGAUCAAUACAGUCACACUAUUAUUGUUUGUUUGUUUAUUUUUUUCCACUUUGCUAACAGAAAAUGUUAUCUGAAUACAAGAUUUCUUUUUGUUUUCUAAGCAGAAAGUAACAUAUGACCAGAACUCAAGAGGGAAAAAGUUAGCUGAUGAAUAAAUGCCCAAGAACUUGGGAAGGAAGUAUAUAUUUUUAUUACCCACUAAGCCACGAUAAGGGUUAUUAUCAUGAGAUAAUCAUUCCUCUGGAGCAAUACGAGACAGGGGACACAGCUGAGUGCGAUCAUGCCCAUGGGAUGUGAUUAGCUCAUGAUAACAGCAUCCCCUGAACUCAUUGCUAUUAUGAAAUGUCUAUUUCCCCCCAUUUUCUAUAUAUAAAUAAAUGAUUUUGGCGGACAGAUUCAAUUCCCACAAACUGCAAGUUUGCAUUAAAAUGCUUCAGCUGUGAGAUUCACAGAUAUUAAUUUACCCUUUUGGAAUGUUGAACAGUCAAUCAGAAUCUUUCUUCGUCUCAAGCUGUUUUAUGAUAUUAUUACAAUGUAUUUUGCGACGGAACGGCGGGUAAAGCAAGUUUCAGAGAAAUAGGCUUGUUUGGGCUCGAUUUAGUUGCUUGAGGGAAACCUCUACAUAAAAUGACUCUGCCUGCUCACUAAGGCAUCCUAACUUUCUCAUUAUUUUUUUCCUGCCUGACUCAAUUUCUUUGCUGCAUUUUAGAAGUCUGAAGUUCAUUCCUCUAACUAGAUUAAUAAAAGCAGAUUUCUCAUUUCAUAUUUCAGAAUUGACAGAGGAAAUACUGCCCUGGUAAUGUCAGAGUGAAGUGAGAAAAUACUAGUCCCAAAUUUGGGAUUUUAAAAUUAACUUUGAAAUCGGAUUGAUUUUUGGAUUUAUCAAUAAAUGAGAAGUUUUGAUAUAAUAACAAGACUGGCGGGUGUCAAGAACAUUCUGGAAUCAUGGUUCUAACACAGAUUCUAGACAUCUCCUAGUCCAACCCCUUGAGCCCAACCGGAUAGCUUUAUUGAGCUGCUCACGAUGCUUCCUGGAUCCCCACCGUCCAACUCCCUGAGAGUUGUCAGUUGGCUAGGCAUACAACAGCCUGUGGAAGAUGGCCUACCAUUCCUUCUGAUGUUCUUGCUUUAGGACUGACACUGCCUGGCCUGAAUCUGAUGUGCCAUAUGACUGACUGCCUAAUUACCUUUAUCUUCUCCCUCCUAGAUUACAGAUGAAAGUUUGGUCACCUGUGUGGAUCAGUGGGAUUAGAGACAUCAAAGCAAGUAAAAAUAAGGAAGACAAGCAGAGAAACAACAAACAAAAAGAACUCCAUCACUGAAACCGAAGUGACCGGUGAUUCUUUAACUAGCCCACUGACUGACCAGCAGCCUUAGCAUCAUCUGAGACCGAAUCGAAAGCUCUGAGGGUGAGAUCCAGUGAUCUGUGUUUUAACACACCUUCCGGGGAUGCUGAUACACACUAAAGUAAGAGAACCACUGGUCCAGGCUAUGGGGUGUGGAGGCAGCCACACUGUAGCGUGAGUCAAAGGGUAUGUUCACUGGCUUCAACUUCUUCUUUAGAGCCCAAUCGUUAUAGUGCUGUUCCUUUACCUAAAGGCUUGCUUCUGCCUAGUAAACUUUGGAAAGGCUAAUAUAUAUAUUAAGCUACUAACUGUAAUUUGUAAUUUCAUGUAAAUUUGUUUAUAUAUUUUUUCCUCACAACAGGUUUCAGAAUGACUAAUUUUAAAAAUCAUUUGAUUAUUACAUUUAACUCCAAAAUCCAGCAAACAUUUAUAAGGUUCCUACUGUGCUAUUUUCUAAGGAAGAUACAAAGAAAGUAUAAGAUAUAGUUCUGGCCAUUGGACUACUUCUGAGUUCUCUAUGGGGGGGGAAAUAUAUAUAUAAUGAGUAAAUUGGAAAGCAAACAAGGACAAUAUAUAAACUAGUGCAUAGUUUUAGUGGUGUAUCUUGUAUACUUACAUGUCAUAAGAAUUUGGAGAGUGAAAUGAGAAAUGUAGUUAAUUUGAUAAUGUUUUACAGAUAAAAUAAAUCUUGUGGAAAUGAAAAGUUAGAUGAUGGAGAUGGUAUGAAUUUAUAUAAUUAAGA